AUUGAACGCUGGCGGCAGGCUUAACACAUGCAAGUCGAGCGAGCGGCGGACGGGUGAGUAAUGUCUGGGAAACUGCCUGAUGUAGGGGGAUAACUACUGGAAACGGUAGCUAAUACCGCAUACCAUCAGAUGUGCCCAGAUGGGGUUAGCUAGUAGGUGGGGUAAUGGCUCACCUAGGCGACGAUCCCUAGCUGGUCUGAGGGGAUGACCAGCCACACUGGAACUGAGACACGGGCCAGACUCCUACGGGAGGCAGCAGUGGGGAAUAUUGCACAAUGGGCGCAAGCCUGAUGCAGCCAUGCCGCGUGUGGGAAGAAGGCCUUCGGGUUGUAAAGCACUUUCAGCGAGGAGGCGUUACUCGCAGAAGAAGCACCGGCUAACUCCGUGCCAGCCGCCGCGGUAAUAC
rnacentral:rRNA from 1 species